GAUGAACGCUGGCGGCGUGCCUAAUACAUGCAAGUCGAGCGAACAGACGAGGAGCUUGCUCCUCUGACGUUAGCGGCGGACGGGUGAGUAACACGUGGAUAACCUACCUAUAAGACUGGGAUAACUUCGGGAAACCGGAGCUAAUACCGGAUAAUAUAUUGAACCGCAUGGUUCAAUAGUGAAAGACGGUUUUGCUGUCACUUAUAGAUGGAUCCGCGCCGCAUUAGCUAGUUGGUAAGGUAACGGCUUACCAAGGCAACGAUGCGUAGCCGACCUGAGAGGGUGAUCGGCCACACUGGAACUGAGACACGGUCCAGACUCCUACGGGAGGCAGCAGUAGGGAAUCUUCCGCAAUGGGCGAAAGCCUGACGGAGCAACGCCGCGUGAGUGAUGAAGGUCUUCGGAUCGUAAAACUCUGUUAUUAGGGAAGAACAAAUGUGUAAGUAACUAUGCACGUCUUGACGGUACCUAAUCAGAAAGCCACGGCUAACUACGUGCCAGCAGCCGCGGUAAUACGUAGGUGGCAAGCGUUAUCCGGAAUUAUUGGGCGUAAAGCGCGCGUAGGCGGUUUUUUAAGUCUGAUGUGAAAGCCCACGGCUCAACCGUGGAGGGUCAUUGGAAACUGGAAAACUUGAGUGCAGAAGAGGAAAGUGGAAUUCCAUGUGUAGCGGUGAAAUGCGCAGAGAUAUGGAGGAACACCAGUGGCGAAGGCGACUUUCUGGUCUGUAACUGACGCUGAUGUGCGAAAGCGUGGGGAUCAAACAGGAUUAGAUACCCUGGUAGUCCACGCCGUAAACGAUGAGUGCUAAGUGUUAGGGGGUUUCCGCCCCUUAGUGCUGCAGCUAACGCAUUAAGCACUCCGCCUGGGGAGUACGACCGCAAGGUUGAAACUCAAA
rnacentral:rRNA from 1 species